GGAGGCUAUGGAUAUUUCUGUAAUGCAACCGAUCUUCGUUUGGAGAACUCUGGCGUGGAAGAAUUGGAUAAGAUACUUAUUGAUAUUUUAUUUGAGGCGGUAUUUAGUGAAAGCCGAAAUUCUCCUUUCAUUUUGUUCAUGAAAGAUGCUGAGAAGUCACUUGUCGGAAAUUUAGACUCCUAUUCUACUUUUAAAAUUAGACUGGAAAAGCUUCCUGACAAUGUUAUAGUAAUUGGCUCUCAUACUCAUACUGACAACCGCAAAGAGAAG
rnacentral:misc_RNA from 1 species